GAAGUUGGAUGCUUAACCGACUGAGCCGCCCAGGCACCCCAAUAGUCCAUAUUUUUUAUUAUGAUCCCAAACUAGUGAGACCAUCUUUUAAAUUUUGAAUGCUCUUUCUCUCUAGCAUAUGCAUUCAGGCACACCCCAUUUUUAAACCAAAUUCAGCAAGGCUUUGAGUAGAUUUAGAAUGUAUAUUAACUUUCUACUCUGUGUAACAAAUUACUACAGAGAGAAUAAAGAUAGCAGACAUUUUUUCUCACACUUUCUGUGGCUCAGGAGUCCAGAAGCUUAACUGGAUGCUCUGCUUAGGGUCUCACAAGGCCACAUUCAAGGCUGGACAGUGUCAGCCUGGCUGUGUUCUUUUUCCAGGCCUGGGGUCCUCUUCCAAGUUCAUUCAGGUUGUUGGCGGAAUUCAGUUCCUUGUGAUUAGAGGAUUGAGGCCCUCAGCUCUCACAGGCAGUUUCCACAGGCAGUUCACAACAUGUCUGUUUGCUUCUUUAAAGCAGGAAAGUGUCUAACUUCGGGAAGGACUCCGCCCCCUUAAGGGCUCACCUGAUUAAGCCAGGCCCACCAGGAUAAUCUCUAUUUGGGUGAGUUCUGAAUCAACGAUACUGCAAAAAUCCUUUAACAUGACAGAAUUAUGAAGUGACAUCAUAUUCACAGUCUCACCCACAUCUAAAGGAAGGGGGUUAUAUAAGACGUGUAGGAUUGUGCUGGGGGGUGGGGGAAUCUUGGGAGCGAUGUUAGAAUCAGCCUAUGACAUCACGUGAUUUCCACAUGCCUAGGGCAGUCUGGUAGAUAUUUUUACAAAUACUCCAAAAUACGUUUACUCCAAAAUGCGUUUCUAGGUUGGAGUUGAGAUACUUUGGGCCCUGUUGAGGGCAGCCCCUCAUAAACACUUUGUGGUGCUUAUGAGCACCAUAAAGCUGAUGGCAUUAAUAGUUUUUAAAUGCCAGGUGCCGCGCAGAGGAGAGCUGGGGUGUGGAUCUGUGCAUUCCCACUCUGGGGCUUGUUCGCUUAACUGCCGUGUCCUAAACAGAGUUUAGAUAGAUAUGCACUGACAAACGAAUGCAUGAUAAAUGAUUUGAAAUGACGAUCGUGAUGGCAAAUUUUAUGCCGGGCUUGAUUCGUCUUCCUCUCUCUCUCCUGCUCUCCGCGCCCCUUCCCCCGCCCGCUCUGUGACAUAAAUGCUUUGUUACUCAAGGCCACAGUAACAGGAUGCUAGGUAAACAGUACACCCCCACCCCCACCCCCCUUUCUUUUCAAGACGUGAAAAGGGAACAGAGCGUUAGGGGAGGAGGCUGUCGCGGUGUCUCAGGGGGCUGGCGGUCCUGUGUGGUGGCCGUGAGGUCGUGCGGACGCCUGGCCCAGUCCCUGGCCGGCGAUCGUGAUCGGCAGUCACGGUCACCCAGGUUGCUCGUGUCUCCGAGGGGACGCUCCGCGCUGCUCUGACCGCGAGCGGUUAGGUGUCGCCCGCGCCUCUUUCUGGGGGCUAGGAUGUCCCUGGCCCAGCGCGUGUCCGGAGUAGACAGUGGGACCCUCCGUAGCCCCUGCAGAAACGAGGCUGAGGCACAGAAGACGGGAGGUCAGCCAGCCGGGGCUCCGCACUGCCUCCCUGCCCUUCCCACGCCACCGUCUCCCCUCAAACCAGGGCUCGGCUUCUGACCUCCCCGAAGCCGCUAGAGACCCCAUCUGUUGGGCUUUCCUGCCCGCCCCCUCGCGGUGAGUGACUGCAGCACUGUGCCUGCUCGCCAGGGGUCGCAAAGUCCCGGCUCCAGGGGUCAGAGAAAUCUUGUCUGAGAAACGGAAAUGCAGGCAGAGCACUAGUGAUAUCAGUUGAGCUCCUGGAUACCACUAUGCCUGAAGCCUUUGCAGCUUCACUUUUCUCUCUACCCUUCACCCCGUGGGAUUCUCCGUUGGCUCCAUGAGCUUCCUGUAGCCCCCUCUCAGCUGGUGACAGCUCAACUGAACUGGUGACAAUUACCAAGCACCAAGUCGCAUUGCCAGCCCCAGGCUUCCUUCCACCCUACAGCACUUACCUGGAAUUAGCUGCGGUCGCAGCUCGGCAGAGAACUGACAUUACAUUGAAACAAAGAGCAGGUGAAAGCUCUUCCUGGACCUACCCAGCUGCCCUAUCCAGCCUGGAGAUCCAAAGUGGGUGAUGGAUGGACUGCACAAUGUGGAGCCUUAUAGCCAGUGCAAAAAGUCGUGAAUGCUGAAACAGAUGCCCCAGCAACUGCCACUGGCAAAAGAACAAGGGCGUUUGCCUCCCUUCAAUCUUCCAAAUCAUGGGUGUGUGAUUGAUCAGUCUGAAUCCAGAACCUUGCUGGCCAGGGGCAUUUUACCAUGCAGAUUCUGGUUGUCAGAUUUUGAAGACUAUUAUCUUUAUGAAGACAGGAACUAGAUUUACUUGAAUCAACAUUGGAACCUCACUACAGAACACUGAUAUAAGUGCUAAUUAAUAUCAGUAUAUGCCUAGUAUAUAAUGUUGAAACUAAAGCAACAGACAGACAAAAGGAAAUUGCCCAAAGUCACACAGGAAGUGGCAGAGGAGAUUAAAACCCAGGCCAUCUGAUGCUAAAGUCCUCAUCUAACCUUUGUGUUAUCCUGCCUCUCCAGGGUGCACCACAGGCCUUUCAUUCCAAAGACUGGAUAAAGAGAGGAUUUGGAGUCCAAGAGCUGAGAACCACAGAUCUACUGGAAGGUCCAACGUGGUGAAGAAAUGAGACCUUCAUAAAGGAGAAACUGAGGCCUCUACCAGCAAGACAUGAAUGAGUGAUCUUGGAAGUAGAUCCUUCAGAUGAGUGCAGCCCUGGCUAACAUCUUGAUGACAACCUCCUGAGAGACCCCGAGCUAUGCUGCCCCCUGAAACUGCUCCCUGAUUCCUGACUCUCCAAAACUAUAGGCUCCAGUCAUGGUGGAGUGGAGGCAAACCAUUCCUGCGGGACCCCUGACCCACAUCUGAAAUCCUGACCCACAGAAUCUGAGGAAUGUAAG